rnacentral:rRNA from 1 species
GACGAACGCUGGCGGCGUGCUUAACACAUGCAAGUCGAACGGAAAGGCCCUGCUUUUGUGGGGUGCUCGAGUGGCGAACGGGUGAGUAACACGUGAGUAACCUGCCCUCGACUUUGGGAUAACUUCCGGAAACUGGGGCUAAUACCGGAUAGGAGCUCCUGCUGCAUGGUGGGGGUUGGAAAGUUUCGGCGGUUGGGGAUGGACUCGCGGCUUAUCAGCUUGUUGGUGGGGUAGUGGCUUACCAAGGCUUUGACGGGUAGCCGGCCUGAGAGGGUGACCGGCCACAUUGGGACUGAGAGACGGCCCAGACUCCUACGGGAGGCAGCAGUGGGGAAUAUUGCACAAUGGGCGGAAGCCUGAUGCAGCAACGCCGCGUGCGGGAUGACGGCCUUCGGGUUGUAAACCGCUUUCGCCUGUGACGAAGCGUGAGUGACGGUAAUGGGUAAAGAAGCACCGGCUAACUACGUG